rnacentral:rRNA from 1 species
CCUACGGGGGGCAGCAGUGGGGAAUAUUGGACAAUGGGGGGAACCCUGAUCCAGCCAUGCCGCGUGUGUGAAGAAGGCCCUCGGGUUGUAAAGCACUUUCAGUGAGGAAGAACGCCUGGUGGUUAAUACCCAUCAGGAAAGACAUCACUCACAGAAGAAGCACCGGCUAACUCCGUGCCAGCAGCCGCGGUAAUACGGAGGGUGCGAGCGUUAAUCGGAAUUACUGGGCGUAAAGCGCGCGUAGGUGGCUUGAUAAGCCGGUUGUGAAAGCCCCGGGCUCAACCUGGGAACGGCAUCCGGAACUGUCAAGCUAGAGUGCAGGAGAGGAAGGUAGAAUUCCCGGUGUAGCGGUGAAAUGCGUAGAGAUCGGGAGGAAUACCAGUGGCGAAGGCGGCCUUCUGGACUGACACUGACACUGAGGUGCGAAAGCGUGGGUAGCAAACAGGAUUAGAUGCCCGAGUAGUC